AUGACGGUGCUGGGAUUAAGUGGUCUACCCAUCAAGAAGAUUCCAGAUGAUAUUGGACAUCUUUUUAAUCUCCGCCAUUUAGGUUUGCGUAAUUCAAAAGUGAAGAUGCUUCCAAAAUCCAUCGAGAAGCUCUCAAAUUUGUUGACACUAGACCUUCAUGGAUCAGACAUACGUGAGUUGCCUAGUUGGAUUACCAAACUGAAGAAGCUCCGACACUUAUUUGUUGAGAAACAAUUUCAGCCAUAUAGAGAGAUUCAAAGUAACAAUGGUGUGCGUAUCCCCAAUGGUCUUGGAAAUCUAACAAACUUACAGACAUUGGAAGCGCAAGCUACAUCUGUUAGACAGUUAGGGGAGCUAACACAACUGAGAAGCUUGAGGUUAUGGAAUGUCAAGGAAAUUGACUGUAGAUGCAUUAGUGAUUCUCUAGUUCAGAUGCGACAUUUGUCCAACCUAUAUGUGAGUGCAAGUGAUGACAACGAGAUUUUGUUGCUGAAUUUACGCCUGCCAAGCCUGCAAAAGUUAUCUUUGAUAGGACGGCUAGUGAGAAGAACAUUGCACAAGUCUCCUCUCUUCCAAGCUGUCGAAGGGCAAAACUUGUAUUCAUUAGCUCUAUCUUGGUCACAACUGACAGAAGACCCCCUUCCAUACUUAUCUCCAUUGUCCAAUUUGACAUAUCUACAGUUCACCAGAGCAUACACUGGAGAGAAGUUGACAUUUCUCACUGGAUGGUUUCCCAAGAUAAAGUUUCUCCAUCUAAGAGACAUGCCUAAUUUGAAUAGGCUAGAGAUAGAACAAGGUACCAUGGUGAGCCUGGAAAGAUUAGCACUAGUCAACCUCGAGAGCAUGAUGGAGGUUCCACUUGGCAUCAAGUUCCUCAUGCCCCUCCAAUAUGUAGGCUUCCACGAAAUCACCGGUUACUUCUUGAUGUUGCUCCACCAAUGUUCUGCGAUUCGAGGGACGCAAUGGGGGUAUAGUCUCCGACGUUGA
rnacentral:rRNA from 1 species